rnacentral:tRNA from 1 species
GCGACCGUGGUGUAGGCGGCAGCACGCCGGGCGUCGAUUCCGGGGGUGCCAGUUCAAAUCUGGUCGGUCGCC